rnacentral:rRNA from 1 species
UGAGUACGAGAUGCUACGGCGUCGAAGCAGUCUAGGUCAUACUUCCAAGAAAAGCUUGCACUGUCAUAAACAAAGAAUGCCUGUACCAUAACCGACACAGGUGGGUAGGUAGAGUAUACUAAGGGGCGCGAGAUAACUCUCUCUAAGGAACUCGGCAAAAUGACUCCGUAACUUCGGGAGAAGGAGUGCCUUAUUUUUAAGGUUGCAAUAACAAGAUCCAAGCAACUGUUUACCAAAAACACAGGUCUCCGCUAAGUCGUAAGACGAUGUAUGGGGGCUGACGCCUGCCCAGUGCCAGAAGGUUAAAGAAGUUGGUUAGCAUUCGCGAAGCUGAUAACUGAAGCCCUGGUGAACGGCGGCCGUAACUAUAACGGUCCUAAGGUAGCGAAAUUCCUUGUCGGGUAAGUUCCGACCCGCACGAAAGGCGUAAUGAUUUGGAUACUGUCUCGGAGGGGCUCGGUGAAAUAGACUUGUCUGUGAAGAUGCGGACUACCUGCACCUGGACAGAAAGACCCUAUGAAGCUUUACUGUAACUUGAGAUUGAAAUUGGACUUUAUUUGCGCAGUAUAGGUGGGAGGCGUUGAGAAUAAUCUUGCGGGAUUAUCGGAGCCAUCAGUGAGAUACCACUCUUGUAAUGUUAGAUUUCUAACUUUGUAUCAUUAUCUGGUCAAAGAACAGUUUCAGGCGGGCAGUUUGACUGGGGCGGUCGCCUCCCAAAGGGUAACGGAGGCGCACAAAGGUUUCCUCUGAACGGGUAGAAAUCGUAUCUAGAGUGUAAAGGCAUAAGGAAGCUUGACUGUGAGACCUACAAGUCGAGCAGGGACGAAAGUCGGUCUUAGUGAUCUGACGGUGCUGAGUGGAAAGGCCGUCACUCAACGGAUAAAAGUUACUCUAAGGAUAACAGGCUGAUCUCCCCCAAGAGUUCACAUCGACGGGGAGGUUUGGCACCUCGAUGUCGGCUCAUCGCAUCCUGGGGCGGUAGUACGUCCCAAGGGUUGGGCUGUUCGCCCAUGAAAGCGGUACGCGAGCUGGGUUCAGAACGUCGUGAGACAGUUCGGUCCAUAUCCGGUGUAGGCGUUAGAAUAUUGAAAGGAGCCUUCUCUAGUACGAGAGGACCGAGAAGGACAUACCUCUGGUGUGCCAGUUAUCGUGCCAACGGUAAACGCUGGGUAGCUAUGUAUGGAGUGGAUAACCGCUGAAAGCAUCUAAGUGGGAAGCCCACCUUAAGAUGAGUAUUCUCAU